GACGAACGCUUUCUUCUUUCCUAAUACAUGCAAGUCGAACGAACGGAUAAAGAGCUUGCUCUUUUGAAGUUAGUGGCGGACGGGUGAGUAACACGUGGGUAACCUGCCUCACAGCUGGGGAUAACAUCGAGAAAUCGAUGCUAAUACCGAAUGUGCUGAACAUCAUAAGAUGUUCAAGUGAAAGACGGUUUCGGCUGUCACUGUGAGAUGGACCCGCGCUGGAUUAGCUAGUUGGUAAGGUAAUGGCUUACCAAGGCGACGAUCCAUAGCCGACCUGAGAGGGUGAUCGGCCACAUUGGGACUGAGACACGGCCCAAACUCCUACGGGAGGCAGCAGUAGGGAAUCUUCGGCAAUGGACGAAAGUCUGACCGAGCAACGCCGCGUGAGCGAAGAAGGCCUUCGGGUCGUAAAGCUCUGUUGUUAGAGAAGAACAUGGGUGAGAGUAACUGUUCACCCCUUGACGGUAUCUAACCAGAAAGCCACGGCUAACUACGUG
rnacentral:rRNA from 1 species